rnacentral:misc_RNA from 1 species
GAUGAAAACGCAGCGAAAUGCGAUAAGUAGUGUGAAUUGCAGAAUUCAGUGAAUCAUCGAAUCUUUGAACGCACAUUGCACCUCUCGGUAUUCCGGGAGGUAUGCCUGUUCGAGCGUCAUUUGUACCCUCAAGCUCUGCUUGGUGUUGGGUGUUUGUUCCGCCUCUGUGUGUGAACUCGCCUCAAAACAAUUGGCAGCCGGCGUACUUGUUUCGGAGCGCAGCACAUUUUGCGAUCCAGAUCAACGUACAGCGGCAUCCAAGAAGCCUUAUUUAACGCUCUUGACCUCGGAUCAGGUAGGGAUACCCGCUGAACUUAAGCAUAUCAAUAAGCGGAGGA